UGGGGAAUAUUGCACAAUGGGCGCAAGCCUGAUGCAGCCAUGCCGCGUGUGUGAAGAAGGCCUUCGGGUUUUAAAGCACUUUCAGCGGGGAGGAAGGCGAUAAGGUUAAUAACCUUGUCGAUUGACGUUACCCGCAGAAGAAGCACCGGCUAACUCCGUGCCAGCAGCCGCGGUAAUACGGAGGGUGCAAGCGUUAAUCGGAAUUACUGGGCGUAAAGCGCACGCAGGCGGUCUGUCAAGUCGGAUGUGAAAUCCCCGGGCUUAACCUGGGAACUGCAUUCGAAACUGGCAGGCUAGAGUCUUGUAGAGGGGGGUAGAAUUCCAGGUGUAGCGGUGAAAUGCGUAGAGAUCUGGAGGAAUACCGGUGGCGAAGGCGGCCCCCUGGACAAAGACUGACGCUCAGGUGCGAAAGCGUGGGGAGCAAACAGG
rnacentral:rRNA from 1 species